rnacentral:rRNA from 1 species
AGAGUUUGAUCAUGGCUCAGAACGAACGCUGGCGGCGUGGAUAAGACAUGCAAGUCGAACGAAACGAGAGCUUAGCUUGCUUUGCUUGAGUUUAGUGGCGGACGGGUGAGUAACACGUGAGCAACCUGCCCAGAAGUAGGGGAUAGCCCACCGAAAGGUGGAUUAAUACCGUAUGUGAUUGUUGAGGGAUUCCUCAACGUAUCAAAGGUGGGGAUCCUUCGGGACCUGCCGCUUCUGGAUGGGCUCGCGGCCUAUCAGCUUGUUGGUGAGGUAACGGCUCACCAAGGCUACGACGGGUAGCUGGUCUGAGAGGAUGAUCAGUCACACUGGAACUGAGACACGGUCCAGACACCUACGGGUGGCAGCAGUCGAGAAUCAUUCGCAAUGGGGGAAACCCUGACGGUGCGACGCCGCGUGGAGGAUGACGGCCCUAGGGUUGUAAACUCCUGUCAUCGGGGAGUAAGGUCUGUAAUUUAAUAGAUUGCAGGAUUGAUAGUACCCGAAGAGGAAGAGACGGCUAACUCUGUGCCAGCAGCCGCGGUAAUACAGAGGUCUCAAGCGUUGUUCGGAAUCACUGGGCGUAAAGCGUAUGUAGGCUGUACGGUAAGUCAGAUGUGAAAGCCCAGGGCUCAACCCUGGAACUGCAUCCGAUACUGCCAUACUAGAGUAGUAGAGGGGUAUAUGGAAUUCACGGUGUAGCAGUGAAAUGCGUAGAUAUCGUGAGGAACACUGGCGGCGAAGGCGAUAUACUGGAUACUUACUGACGCUGAGAUACGAAGGCUAGGGUAGCGAAAGGGAUUAGAUACCCCUGUAGUCCUAGCAGUAAACGGUGCACGUUUGGUGUGGGGCGGUUCGACCCGCUCCGUGCCGGAGCUAACGCGUUAAACGUGCC